rnacentral:rRNA from 1 species
AGUGAACGCUGGCGGUAGGCCUAACACAUGCAAGUCGAACGGCAGCACAGUAAGAGCUUGCUCUUACGGGUGGCGAGUGGCGGACGGGUGAGGAAUACAUCGGAAUCUACUUUUUCGUGGGGGAUAACGUAGGGAAACUUACGCUAAUACCGCAUACGACCUACGGGUGAAAGCAGGGGAUCUUCGGACCUUGCGCGAUUGAAUGAGCCGAUGUCGGAUUAGCUAGUUGGCGGGGUAAAGGCCCACCAAGGCGACGAUCCGUAGCUGGUCUGAGAGGAUGAUAAGCCACACUGGAACUGAGACACGGUCCAGACUCCUACGGGAGGCAGCAGUGGGGAAUAUUGGACAAUGGGCGCAAGCCUGAUCCAGCCAUACCGCGUGGGUGAAGAAGGCCUUCGGGUUGUAAAGCCCUUUUGUUGGGAAAGAAAAGCAGCAGGUUAAUACCCCGCUGUUCUGACGGUACCCAAAGAAUAAGCACCGGCUAGCUUCGUG